CAACCCUCAAGCCUCGUUUGGUGUUGGGCCCUGCCCGCCGCGGCCGGCCCUAAAGAUAGUGGUGGCGCCGCCUGGCCCUCAGCGUAGUACAGCUCUCGCUCCAGGGUCCGGCGGCAGCCUGCCAGAACCCCCCAACUCUGU
rnacentral:misc_RNA from 1 species